UUUGCGUUCACCUGAACCAGCAGUCACCAAAACAAUGAACCGCUAUGUUUUGACGAUGAGUGUCAAAGAGCUAGGCACUCCAAUGUUCUGCAGUAAGUGCCGUGAUAUGACGGAAAGAGCGAAGGAAGUUGCCCGGCGAAAAGGACACAUUGAGAACUAUAACAUAAAGGAUCGUUUCGUAGUUUGCCACAACUGUCCAACGGCCCCAAAUAUUGUUCUCAAAACUCCUAAGAAAUGGGCGAUGAAAGUGCAUCACAGUCGUCGAAAGAAAAUGGGUGUAGCACCAAGUCCGAAGACAAUCGACUAUGAGCCCGAAUUCCAACUGAGAAAGAAAGGUGUUGUCAUGCACUGUGGGCCCAGUCGGACUAAAUUGUAUACUUUUAGGAUUUUUCUAUAUAAAAAAUCCAUAUGGAUUAAAAAAAAUCCUGAGGGAUUUAAAGUCAAAUUAUUAAAAAAAUACUCAAAACUAAUAACAAAAUAAUUUUCAUUACAAAAAAUAAUUCAUUUUGUUAGUUGUCAUCGAUUUUACGGAGCAAAACAUAUAAUGUGAAACGAAAUUGUCAACUGUAGCUGUCACAGAAACAAUACAUGUACACAAGCAUCACACGUACAAGCCAUAACAACAGAGAAAGAUAUGCUGAGCGAACAUUCUAAUACAUGCGCUCACUACUUAGCUUCAUCGCUGUGAUACUUUGAGCGUACAUGUGAUGUUUAUGUAUUUGUAUUUUUUCUGUGACAGCUACAGUUGACAAUUUUGUAUUGCACUAUAUGUUUUGCUCCGUAAAAUCGAUGACAAUCAACAAAAUGAAUUUAAAAUAAUUUUGAGUAUUGUUUUAAUAUUUUGAAUUUCCUUCAGGAUUUUUUUUAAUCCAUAUGGAUUUUUUAUAUAGAAAAAUCCUAAAAGUAUACAAUUUAGUCCGACUGGGCCCACAGUGUGGAUCGUGAUCAAAAUGCUUCACGCAAUAUGAUUUACAAAGCAUUGCGUAAGCUACAUCGUCAACCAGAUGAUCCCAUUUUCAAUAUGAGUGUUGCCGCAUGGAAACAACAAUAUCGUUCGAAUCCAGCAGUUCCAGCGAAUCGCCCGAAUCGUGCAAAACGUGCAGCAUAAUAGUAAAAGAAGUUAAGCCGCGGUCGUUCUAUUAGAAGUGACCAGCGUGACCCAACUCUAUCGUAUUAACCAGUAUUAACGCGGUAGGGAGUACUAUUCUACUAGGGGGUAGACACGUGGAAUAGGAUUAGACUUUUUAGUGUAAAAAUUCGAGAAAUUAAAGUGGAAUAGAGAAUUCAGUAGCUGGAUUCACAUGGAUUCACUAAUCCUGUGUAUGGAAUAGCGAAAAUGGGUUAAUUCAAAGUUUUUGUAAUCGAUAGUACAGAAUUUGAUAAAAGCAUUGAACUUGUUUUGAGAUAGUA